GAUGAACGCUGGCGGCGUGCUUAACACAUGCAAGUCGAACGAAGCACUUUAUUUGAUUUCCUUCGGGACUGAUUAUUUUGUGACUGAGUGGCGGACGGGUGAGUAACGCGUGGGUAACCUGCCUUGUACAGGGGGAUAACAGUUGGAAACGGCUGCUAAUACCGCAUAAGCGCACAGCAUCGCAUGAUGCAGUGUGAAAAACUCCGGUGGUGUAAGAUGGACCCGCGUUGGAUUAGCUAGUUGGUGAGGUAACGGUCCACCAAGGCGACGAUCCAUAGCCGACCUGAGAGGGUGACCGGCCACAGUGGGACUGAGACACGGCCCAAACUCCUACGGGAGGCAGCAGUGGGGAAUAUUGCACAAUGGGCGAAAGCCUGAUGCAGCGACGCCGCGUGAGCGAAGAAGUAUUUCGGUAUGUAAAGCUCUAUCAGCAGGGAAGAUAAUGACGGUACCUGACUAAGAAGCACCGGCUAAAUACGUG
rnacentral:rRNA from 1 species